AUGGGCGAAGCUGAUGCAGCCAUGCCGCGUGUGUGAAGAAUGCCUUCGGGUUGUAAAGCACUUUCAGCGAGGAGGAAAGGGGAUGUAGUUAAUAACUGCAUUCUGUGACGUUACUCGCAGAAGAAGCACCGGCUAACUUCGUGCCAGCAGCCGCGGUAAUACGUAGGGGUGCAAGCGUUAAUCGGAAUUACUGGGCGUAAAGCGUGCGUAGGUGGUUUGUUAAGCAAGAUGUGAAAGCCCCGGGCUCAACCUGGGAACUGCAUUUGAAACUGGCAAGCUAGAGUAUUGUAGAGGGUAGUGGAAUUUUCCAGUGUAGCGGUGAAAUGCGUAGAGAUUGGAAGGAACAUCAGUGGCGAAGGGCGGCUACCUGGACAAAAUACUGACACUGAGGCACGAAAGCGUGGGGAGCAAACAGGAUUAGAUACCCUGGUAGUCCACGCCGUAAACGAUGUCAACUAGCCGUCUGUAGCACUUGAUGCUGUGGGUGGACGUAGCUCACGUCGCUAAGUUGACCGCCUGGUGGAGUAC
rnacentral:rRNA from 1 species